UCCAGGUUACCCUGGCAGUCUAUUUAGAGAGUCUCAACUAAAUGUUAGCAACUAAAUACGAGGGUUGCGUUCGUUCUAGCACUUAAGCAUACACUUCACAGCACGAACUGACGACGACCAUGCACCACCUGUGUAAUUCAACUAGGUUUCCCUAGUUUAGCAUUGCUGCAUUACAUGUCAAGCCUUGGUAAGGUUCUGCGCGUCGUAUCGAAUUAAACCACAUGCUCCACCGCUUGUGCGGGUCCCCGUCAAUUCCUUUGAGUUUUAGCCUUGCGGCCGUACUACCCAGGCGGAGCAUUUAAAGCGUUAGCUGCGACACUGAGUAAAAACCCAAUGCCUAAUGCUCAUCGUUUAGGGCGUGGACUAC
rnacentral:misc_RNA from 1 species